rnacentral:rRNA from 1 species
UACGGGGGGGGCAAGCGUUGUUCGGAAUUACUGGGCGUAAAGGGCUCGUAGGCGGCCAACUAAGUCAGACGUGAAAUCCCUCGGCUUAACCGGGGAACUGCAUCUGAUACUGGAUGGCUUGAGUUUGGGAGAGGGAUGCGGAAUUCCAGGUGUAGCGGUGAAAUGCGUAGAUAUCUGGAGGAACACCGGUGGCGAAGGCGGCAUCCUGGACCAACACUGACGCUGAGGCACGAAAGCGUGGGUAGCAAACAGG